UACGGAGGGUGCUAACGUUGCUCGGAAUUAUUGGGCGUAAAGCGCACGUAGGCGGCCCAGUGUGUCGGAUGUGAAAGCCCUCGGCUUAACCGAGGAAGUGCAUUCGAAACUACUAGGCUUGAGUACGGGAGAGGGUAGCGGAAUUCCCGGUGUAGAGGUGAAAUUCGUAGAUAUCGGGAGGAACACCAGUGGCGAAGGCGGCUACCUGGACCGAUACUGACGCUCAGGUGCGAAAGCGUGGGGAGCAAACAGG
rnacentral:rRNA from 1 species